UAAGCGGAGGAAAAGAAACUAACAAGGAUUCCCCUAGUAACUGCGAGUGAAGCGGGAAAAGCUCAAAUUUAAAAUCUGGUGGUCUUUGGCCAUCCGAGUUGUAAUUUAGAGAAGCGUCUUCCGCGCUGGACCGUGCACAAGUCUCCUGGAAUGGAGCGUCAUAGAGGGUGAGAAUCCCGUCUUUGGCACGGACACGCCAGGGCUUUUGUGAUGCGCUCUCGAAGAGUCGAGUUGUUUGGGAAUGCAGCUCAAAAUGGGUGGUGAACUCCAUCUAAAGCUAAAUAUUGGCGAGAGACCGAUAGCGAACAAGUACCGUGAGGGAAAGAUGAAAAGCACUUUGGAAAGAGAGUGAAACAGUACGUGAAAUUGUUGAAAGGGAAACGCUUGAAGUCAGUCGCGUCGACCGAGACUCAGCCUCGCCUUGGCUUGGUGUAAUUCUCGGCUGACGGGUCAGCAUCAAUUUUGCCUCUUGGAUAAUGGCGAGGGAAAUGUGACACCUUUACGGUGUGUUAUAGUCUCUCGUCGCAUGCAAGGGUUGGGAUUGAGGAACUCAGCACGCGCCUUCGGGUGUCGGGGUUACGCCCACGAUACGUGCUUAGGAUGUUGGCGUAAUGGCUUUAAACGANC
rnacentral:rRNA from 1 species